UUGAACGCUGGCGGAAUGCUUUACACAUGCAAGUCGAACGGCAGCACGGGGGCAACCCUGGUGGCGAGUGGCGAACGGGUGAGUAAUGCAUCGGAACGUGCCCGAUCGUGGGGGAUAACGCAGCGAAAGCUGCGCUAAUACCGCAUACGAUCUGAGGAUGAAAGCGGGGGACCGUAAGGCCUCGCGCGAUCGGAGCGGCCGAUGUCAGAUUAGGUAGUUGGUGGGGUAAAGGCUCACCAAGCCGACGAUCUGUAGCUGGUCUGAGAGGACGACCAGCCACACUGGGACUGAGACACGGCCCAGACUCCUACGGGAGGCAGCAGUGGGGAAUUUUGGACAAUGGGCGCAAGCCUGAUCCAGCAAUGCCGCGUGCAGGAAGAAGGCCUUCGGGUUGUAAACUGCUUUUGUACGGAGCGAAAAGGCUCUCUCUAAUACAGGGGGCUCAUGACGGUACCGUAAGAAUAAGCACCGGCUAACUACGU
rnacentral:rRNA from 1 species